UACGUAGGGACCAAGCGUUGUUCGGAUUUACUGGGCGUAAAGGGCUCGUAGGCGGCCAACUAAGUCAUACGUGAAAUCCCUCGGCUUAACCGGGGAACUGCGUCUGAUACUGGAUGGCUUGAGUUCGGGAGAGGGAUGCGGAAUUCCAGGUGUAGCGGUGAAAUGCGCAGAUAUCAGGAGGAACACCGGUGGCGAAGGCGGAUCUCUGGGCCAUUACUGACGCUGAGGAGCGAAAGCGUGGGGAGCGAACAGG
rnacentral:rRNA from 1 species